CACGUAGAUAAUCUACCUUCAAGCCUGGAAUAACUGUUCGAAAGGGCAGCUAAUACCGGAUAAAGUUGUUUGACACAAGUUGAACAAUGAAAGAUUGCCUCUUCUUGAAAGCAAUUGUUUGGAGAUGAGUUUGCGGACCAUUAGCUAGUUGGUGGGGUAAAGGCCUACCAAGGCUGCGAUGGUUAGCUGGUCUGAGAGGAUGAUCAGUCACACUGGAACUGGAACACGGUCCAGACUCCUACGGGAGGCAGCAGUGAGGAAUUUUGCGCAAUGGGGGAAACCCUGACGCAGCAACGCCGCGUGAGUGAAGAAGGCCCUUGGGUCGUAAAGCUCUGUCAACUGGGAAGAAGUUACAAUUGUUCAAUAGGCAGUUGUAUUGACGGUACCAGUGGAGGAAGCGCCGGCUAACUCCGUGCCAGCAGCCGCGGUAACACGGGGGGCGCAAGCGUUAUUCGGAAUUAUUGGGCGUAAAGGGCGCGUAGGCGGUCUUGUCGGUCAGAUGCGAAAGCCCAGGGCUCAACCCUGGACGUGCAUUUGAAGCAGCAAGACUUGAGUACGGGAGAGGAGAGCGGAAUUCCUGGUGUAGAGGUGAAAUUCGUAGAUAUCAGGAGGAACACCGAUGGCGAAGGCAGCUCUCUGGACCGAUACUGACGCUGAGGCGCGAAGGCGUGGGUAGCGAACAGGAUUAGAUACCCUGGUAGUCCACGCAGUAAACGAUGUUCACUAGGUGUAGCGGGUAUUAAAACUUGCUGUGCCGCAGCUAACGCAUUAAGUGAACCGCCUGGGGAGUACGGUCGCAAGACUAAAACUCAAAGGAAUUGACGGGGGCCCGCACAAGCGGUGGAGCAUGUGGUUUAAUUCGACAACGCGAAGAACCUUACCUGGGUUCGACAUCCUGUGAAUAUCUUAGAGAUAAGAUAGUGCCUUCGGGAGCACAGAGACAGGUGCUGCAUGGCUGUCGUCAGCUCGUGUCGUGAGAUGUUUGGUUAGUCCAGCAACGAGCGCAACCCUUAUCGUUAGUUGCCAGCACGUAAUGGUGGGAACUCUAGCGAGACUGCCCGGGUUAACCGGGAGGAAGGCGGGGAUGACGUCAAGUCCUCAUGGCCCUUAUGUCCAGGGCUACACACGUGCUACAAUGGUAAAUACAAAGGGCAGCGAGCGCGCGAGCGUGAGCGAAUCCCAAAAACCGGCCCCAGUUCGGAUUGGAGUCUGCAACUCGAC
rnacentral:rRNA from 1 species